GUGACAUAAUUUUCCAUUGUUUUCUCGUCCGGAUCCUCCCCCAGCACAAACACAAUCAGAGCAUUGCUCCAAUAAUCCUCCAGUUCCUUUGUAUCCACAUCAUCAAUUUGCAUUACAAAGGUUCCAUCUCUCAUUGCAGGUGGAAUGUAACUCAGUGUGUUACCUUUUUGAGAGCUCCCAUUCUUCUGCAUGGAAGCCUUUUUC
rnacentral:lncRNA from 1 species